rnacentral:rRNA from 1 species
UACAGAGGCCUCGAGCGUUAGGCGGAAUCACUGGGCUUAAAGCGUGUGUAGGCGGAUUGGUAAGUACCUUGUGAAAUCCCACAGCUUAACUGUGGAACUGCUCGGUAUACUGCUGAUCUUGAGCCACUCAGGGGCUACCGGAACAAAUGGUGGAGCGGUGAAAUGCGUAGAUAUCAUUUGGAACGCCAAUGGUGAAAACAGGUAGCUGGGAGUGUGCUGACGCUGAGACACGAAAGCCAGGGGAGCGAACGGG